UACACUCCUGCGGGAGGCAGCAGUGGGGAAUAUUGCACAAUGGGCGCAAGCCUGAUGCAGCGACGCCGCGUGGGGGAUGAAGGCCUUCGGGUUGUAAACUCCUUUCGCUAGGGACGAAGCUUUUUUGUGACGGUACCUAGAUAAGAAGCACCGGCUAACUACGUGCCAGCAGCCGCGGUAAUACGUAGGGUGCGAGCGUUGUCCGGAAUUACUGGGCGUAAAGGGCUCGUAGGUGGUUUGUCGCGUCGUCUGUGAAAUUCUGGGGCUUAACUCCGGGCGUGCAGGCGAUACGGGCAUAACUUGAGUGCUGUAGGGGUAACUGGAAUUCCUGGUGUAGCGGUGAAAUGCGCAGAUAUCAGGAGGAACACCGAUGGCGAAGGCAGGUUACUGGGCAGUUACUGACGCUGAGGAGCGAAAGCAUGGGUAGCGAACAGGAUUAGAAACCCUAGUAGUCC
rnacentral:rRNA from 1 species